rnacentral:rRNA from 1 species
UACGUAGGGGGCAAGCGUUGUCCGGAAUCAUUGGGCGUAAAGAGCGUGUAGGCGGUCCGGUAAGUCGGUUGUGAAAGUCCAGGGCUCAACCCUGGGAUGCCGGUCGAUACUGUCGGACUAGAGUUCGGAAGAGGCGAGUGGAAUUCCCGGUGUAGCGGUGAAAUGCGCAGAUAUCGGGAGGAACACCAAUGGCGAAGGCAGCUCGCUGGGACGUUACUGACGCUGAGACGCGAAAGCGUGGGGAGCAAACAGG